CUGGCGGCCGUAGCGCGGUGGUCCCACCUGACCCCAUGCCGAACUCAGAAGUGAAACGCCGUAGCGCCGAUGGUAGUGUGGGGUCUCCCCAUGCGAGAGUAGGGAACUGCCUGGC
rnacentral:rRNA from 1 species